UACGUAGGGGGCAAGCGUUAUCCGGAUUUACUGGGUGUAAAGGGAGCGUAGACGGCACUGCAAGUCCGGAGUGAAAGCCCAAGGCUUAGCCAUGGGACUGCUCUGGAAACUGUGGAGCUUGAGUGCGGGAGGGGCAGGCGGAAUUCCUAGUGUAGCGGUGAAAUGCGUAGAUAUUAGGAGGAACACCAGUGGCGGAGGCGGCUUACUGGACGGUAACUGACGCUGAGGCUCGAAAGCGUGGGGAGCAAACAGG
rnacentral:rRNA from 1 species